GACGAACGCUGGCGGCGUGCUUAACACAUGCAAGUCGAACGGUAAGGCCCUUCGGGGUACACGUGUGGCGAACGCGUGCGUGUGACGUGGGUAUUCUGCACUGCACUUCGGGUUAAGCCUGGGUUAAUGGGUCUAAUACCGGUACCUGAGUUGCUGCCGUGCUGCGGGGGUUGGGUAGUUGUUUGGUGCAGGUUGGGCCCGCGGCCUAUCAGCUUGUUGGUGGGGUAGUGGUCUACCAAGGCGACGGCGGGUAGCCGGCCUGAGAGGGUGAUCGGCCACACUGGGACUGAGACACGGCCCAGACUCCUACGGGAGGCAGCAGUGGGGAAUAUUGCACAAUGGGCGGAAGCCUGAUGCAGCAACGCCGCGUGAGGGAUGACGGCCUUCGGAUUGUAAACCCCUUUCAGUUGUGACGAAGCGCAAGUGACGGUACCUGCAGAAGAAGCACCGGCCAACUACGUG
rnacentral:rRNA from 1 species